rnacentral:rRNA from 3 species
UGGGGAAUAUUGCACAAUGGAGGGAACUCUGAUGCAGCGACGCCGCGUGAACGAAGAAGGCUUUCGAGUCGUAAAGUUCUUUUAUAUGGGAAGAUAAUGACGGUACCAUAAGAAAAAGCCCCGGCUAACUACGUGCCAGCAGCCGCGGUAAUACGUAGGGGGCUAGCGUUGUCCGGAAUCACUGGGCGUAAAGGGUUCGCAGGCGGAAAUGCAAGUCAGGUGUAAAAGGCAGUAGCUUAACUACUGUAAGCAUUUGAAACUGCAUAUCUUGAGAAGAGUAGAGGUAAGUGGAAUUUUUAGUGUAUCGGUGAAAUGCGUAGAUAUUAAAAAGAAUACCGGUGGCGAAGGCGACUUACUGGGCUCAUUCUGACGCUGAGGAACGAAAGCGUGGGUAGCAAACAGG